GAUUAUUAAAUAGGUUGAAUAGAUUAAAUAGGUCAAAGGAUUGAAAACUGAACCCGACUCGAUUGUUAAACUGCUUAAAUAGCUCAAGAUUUGAAAUCUAAACCUAUCAUGUUUAAUAAACAGGUAAUCCAACUCAAUCUGCUUAACCUGUUUAAUAAACUGGUAAUCUGCUUAACAAAUUAACUUGUAUAAAUUUAAUCUAUAU
rnacentral:lncRNA from 1 species